CCUCCUCGCGUUUCUCCCGCACGGCCCCCGGAGCUCCGAGCGCUCCGGUUGCCCGGGGGCCGUGCGGGAAAGUUGCUCCGACCCAGCGCCCACGGGAGAAACUUCCCGGCUCGGCUCAGCCCUGCCCGCAGCCCCGCUAUCGGAGCGUGACGGCACGGUGGGGAGAAAAGUUUCCGAAAGCCUUAAAGGGAGAGCGGCGGAGCGGGGAUGUGGUGGCGGGGGUGACCGGGGCUCCAGGCUCCUGCAGCCUCCGUGGGGAGCCGCUGCCAUCACUUCCCCGCGGCAGCGGAGGCUGUGGUCGGGCAGGAGGAGGUGGAGGAGCGAGGCACGCAAGGCGUCUGCUUGAGAGAGCAUGCGAGGCUUUAAAUGUCUUCAUCAUGCACGGAAUUAAUAACGGCAGUCAAGUGUGGCCUUUUGAAAGAUGGGAACACUUAGGAUGGAAUUAGUCUCGACAUCUCUGGACUAAUGACAGUGCCUGAUGGAUCGUUGGAUGGAGCAGAUAGUCCAAAAGCCUUGAAAUGUAACACUGGGCAAGUCUAAGCAGAGUCACUCUGUGGUUGUUUCUGGCUCUUCCCCCAAGUCCUGGCUAGUAGAUAAAAGUUGAAAAAUAUCCAGCUUAAGUCAUGUGUUCUCUCGGUGUCCCCUGAUCAAUUUGCUGUCCUAGGCAACCACCUGGUCUCCCCCUGUGUGUGAAUCUGUACCAAACUGCGUGGACUAAGAUCCCUCCCCUGCCAGAGUAAACUGAAAGAGCUCCCUCCUUCCCUUCCUUGAGCUGGAGUAAUCAUCCGCAAGAUUUCCAGGUGCUUCACAGCCCUGGAUCGGUCUCGUAGUAAAUACACAUCAGGCAGCUGCUGCACAGGAGAUGCUGUGUGUGAAACCUUCUGUGAACCAUCCCAGCAGGGCCUGUUGUGGGGUUUCUGCCUUGCCUCCUCUGUUCCUUUUAUUUAUUUAAGCAUCUGAUAAGGAUUAGGCUGUGCCACGUACAGGUGAGAAGUUCCAGUGCAUUUCUGAAUGCUGGCAGGAAUGGGCCUUAGAAGAGCAAUGUGAACAGCUGCUCAAGAAAGGAGAUAUAAAAAAAAGUCCUCCCAGAGAGCCAAAUGUAACUACAUCCAAGAUGUUCCUUGGAGAGGAAGUCAUCUGUAUGCAAUGAAUGCCACAGUCAACAUGCACAUUUGGUUUUUUAUGUAUCACAUACAGAAAAUAAAUGAAAUGUCAGAAGUAGGCACAAGUUUACGUGUCUAUAUGCUUUGUAUUCUACAAUAUUUGGUGAAUCUUGUUUUUCUCUAUUUUUGUGAUUCCAAAUAUGUGUUCUUUGAGUAAAUAACAAUAAAAAUAAUUUAAAAUAUCA